rnacentral:rRNA from 1 species
UACGUAGGGAGCAAGCGUUGUCCGGAAUCAUUGGGCGUAAAGCGCGCGUAGGCGGCCCGAUAAGUCCGUUGUGAAAGUCAAAGGCUCAACCUUUGAAUGCCGAUGGAUACUGUCGGGCUAGAGUCCGGAAGAGGCGAGUGGAAUUCCUGGUGUAGCGGUGGAAUGCGCAGAUAUCAGGAGGAACACCAAUAGCGAAGGCAGCUCGCUGGGACGGCACUGACGCUAAGGCGCGAAAGCGUGGGGAGCGAACAGG